NNCCAGCUGACCAGUCCCAAAUAGGACGAAACACGCGUCCUGGAU
rnacentral:hammerhead_ribozyme from 1 species